AGGAAAAACACAUAUUAUCUUAGACUGCAAUCUAGUGUGAGGAUGAGAUGGUAUUUUAAUAGGGCUGCAUUUAUCAACUGUAACAAGGGAGGGAAUGUGCUCCAACCCAGCGCGCCUUGUGGGCAAUGCAAGCAAGAGUCAGCGAGUGCGACCGCCGGAGGAGUGCGGCGAUGGGAGGAAGGCAGACGGACAGACAGCCUGCUGGGAACGAGGGCGGUCUGCAGGUGAUCUCGCAGGGGAGGGUGCGGCACCCACUGCCCAUCUUAGCGGGAUCCCAUCCCCUCGCUCCACCAUCCUCAAUGCUCCUGGAAACCUGAAUUUCUGACUUGACUUGCGAUGGGAUUUGCAUGUCUAGCCAGUGACACUACUAUUUUCAGAAGUAAUUACAUUUUUAAUUACGCUUUUUAAUAGCUGGUAGCUGCUGCUUUGCAGUUUUGUUCCUGUCCCUCUUGGACGCACCUUGGAGCAACACCAGGAGCCUCCACUUCCCUUCCAGUGAGAUGUGAGAGUGUGAACACACAGCGAGAAAGGGGAGAACGCGUGUGUCAAUGCGUGCAACUGAUCUCGCAGCCACAUAUCACAGCUGGAGACUGAAACCAGAGCUGGGCAGUGCAUCUCAGAGCCACGGGAACAGCCCCUCAGCAUUUCCCAACACAAGUCUGGAGAAAGAAUGAGGAAGACAGAAGGGCCCAGAUCUGCAGCGUGCAGACAGAGCUGGUCCUAGGAAAAGCACACCAGCUUUCCUCUAAAUCAGGCGUUUGGGCUGAGCGCUUGUGAUUGUAGGAGAAAGGGAAAGUGAUCAUAUAAAAGCAGCCACAGGAGAGGUGAAAUAAACUCUUCAAAGAGGGCUCGUGCUGGUGCAGAUUCUGCAUUGAAAAUCCAGAGUCAGAGAAUUCUCUGUGACGUUGGGCAAGGCGCUGCAUCUCUUACCAGCUCAGACUGCCAGUUGGUCACCGAGACACACCAACCUCCGCACUGCUCCUGUCCAUGGAAACAGACAGAGGUGUGGAAGAAUGAGGGUAUAUCUUUUCUAGAGAUCCAAAAGAAGGAGAGCUCUAAAUACAACAGAAAGGAAUUAGAAGGCAGCUCAUUUUGAUCCAGGCAGAUCCUUCAACCUUUUGAAAUUUAAAGGAUCCCUGACUUUCCUGAAGCAGUCUCAAGACUCCCAUGCACCCAUGUGCAGAGAAAAUAAAAGUCCCUCUGCGCCGCCUGCUCAUUAAUUUGCUUUUCUUUUCUCAUCAUUUGUUUGCUAGCUUGUCUGCUUGGGAAGAUGGCAUGGGUUUCUAUGAUUUUCCAGUCAUUGCCUAACCCACCUGUUGUAGGGCCCAGCAGCGCUUAAUGGCACUGAGCACCACGGAGCUGCAAUGCCCAUAAGCAUGUCUGUUCCCAGUCCCUUUGGAGUCACUCCCUCACAGACACCCUUUCAUCAGCAGAUUUCAGGUGUGCAGCAAACCCUGGGCGCAUGGAGCACAGCAUACUGGAGCACUGCUGGCUGCACACCCCAGCACGCACCGGUGCGUGUCCCUGUCCAGCCAGCUACAAACAGCAGCACAGAGUGGCUGUGAUUUGGCAUCUCAUUACCACAAUGACUUCGGGAGUUCAGACCUGCUGCAGCCCUGCAACUGGAUUCUCCAGCACACCCCAUGUUGCUCCCUGGCACCCAGAGAAUCAGCUGGAUUUUGCACCAUAGGAAAGCUCUGCAAACACUGUAGUUGUUACCAACACAGACACACAUUCCCACAAAUACCACUCUCAUGCUAGAUACAUCCAACCAAGCAGCCAAAUGGUUUAAAGCCAAGCAGUGGUCUCAGAGCCAGUAAACUACAGCCCUUGGAAAUCCCUAAGAACUCCAGAGGCAGAGUGCCCACUGCUCUGCACUGUCCCAUGGCUGCUGCAGUUUCCUACCUAUGAGUGGUGUUGGUUUUGCAGACAGUGCCACAUCUGAACCUGUCAGGCUGCAACAAAUGCAUCUCAGACCCAAGAGCCAGAAGCUUUGGAUGCGGUACCUCCAGAGUGCAGCCCUCCAGGAGAUCUUGGUGACAUCCAGAGCAGAAGGACCUGGUGCUGUACCUGGAAUUACCAGUCUCAGCCCAUGGGAGUGAAGUUCGGAACGUCUGAGGCACAUCUCCUCUUCCAAAUCUUGGAAAUUCUCCCACUGUGGUUUCCCAAACCUCGGUGUUGACAUGUCUUGUUGGGCCUUAUGACACAGAAGUUGGACUGGGUCUGUACUGGAUCCCACUUUUGCCCUGAGUCUAUUAGCAUAACAUUUUAGUCCCUCUCGCUCUUCCAAACUGACACACAGUACUGCUGAAGUUCCUAAAAAUCUGGGAUUCUGCUUUUCUUGGUAAGCCCCAAACAUUUUUGAAAGGUUUGGAAGACGUCUCAGAAGUUGUCCUGAAGGAGGUCUGGUUCAUUCCUCCAUGGAUGCGUGCCUUGCCUCAGGGGUCAGAUACCAACUCAGUCAGUAGCUGUUAAGGGUUUGAUCCUCCCAUAGAUUUUGUAUGCGACUGAUAUGAAUGAAUUUUACACCUUUAUGACUUUUCUCAUCUGGCAAUUGGCUACUAAAGAUUAUUCAAACCCAUACAUUCGGUGAGACCAACUUUUCUGACGGCCACGCAGUACCCUCAGAGGGGUGAGUUUAUCAGCAGUUACCUGAUCACCCAACAAAAUAAAAGCAUUAAAAUGUGCUUUUUCUCUUCUGAAUUCUACUGUUGUUUACGAGAACGGAGGCAGUGCAUCAGGACGGGUCACCCAGUGCCCGGCGGUGUCACCGCAGCGUUGGGCGUUCCAUGGCCACACCAUCUCCUCCAUCGCACAGCCCGUGCUCAUUCCAAAGCGCUGAACCAAAGCUCAGCUGCAAAAAGGAGUCACCCUGGGCCACUGCCGGGAGGAGGUGCCGUGGUGCAGGGCUGAGCACAGGCUGUGCCAUGCCCCGCUGUCUGCCCUUCCCUUGUGCCAGCGGUGCUGUCGCUAAGAAGCACACGGGCCGUAUGGCGGGGUUUUCCAGCUUUCUAACCCGGCUUAGAAAGAAAUGAUGCAAUCCUUGGAAAGUUACUAUUGAUUUGAGCCUCAUGAAGUUGGUGGCCAAGCGUCAUCGGGUCAGAUGAGAUCAGGUCUUCCCCAGACACCCAUAUGACUGUAG
rnacentral:lncRNA from 1 species